rnacentral:rRNA from 1 species
AACGACUCUCGGCAACGGAUAUCUCGGCUCUCGCAUCGAUGAAGAACGUAGCGAAAUGCGAUACUUGGUGUGAAUUGCAGAAUCCCGUGAACCAUCGAGUCUUUGAACGCAAGUUGCGCCCCAAGCCUUCUGGCCGAGGGCACGUCUGCCUGGGCGUCACAAAUC